AUUGAACGCUGGCGGCAGGCCUAACACAUGCAAGUCGAGCGAGCGGCGGACGGGUGUGUAAUGUCUGGGAAACUGCCUGAUGGAGGGGGAUAACUACUGGAAACGGUAGCUAAUACCGCAUACCAUCAGAUGUGCCCAGGUGGGAUUAGCUAGUAGGUGGGGUAACGGCUCACCUAGGCGACGAUCCCUAGCGGGUCUGAGAGGAUGACCAGCCACACUGGAACUGAGACACGGUCCAGACUCCUACGGGAGGCAGCAGUGGGGAAUAUUGCACAAUGGGCGCAAGCCUGAUGCAGCCAUGCCGCGUGUGUGAAGAAGGCCUUCGGGUUGUAAAGCACUUUCAGCAGGGAGGCGUUACCCGCAGAGAAAGCACCGGCUAACUCCGUGCCAGCAGCCGCGGUAAUUC
rnacentral:rRNA from 1 species